UAAUACGUAGGGUGCAGGCGUUAAUCGGAAUUACUGGGCGUAAAGCGUGCGCAGGCGGUCUCUUAAGACAGGUGUGAAAUCCCCGGGCUUAACCUGGGAACUGGCGCUUGUUACUGAGAGGCUUGAGUGCGGCAGAGGAGGGUGGAAUUCCACGUGUAGCAGUGAAAUGCGUAGAGAUGUGGAGGAACACCGAUGGCGAAGGCAGCCCCCUGGGUCGACACUGACGCUCAUGCACGAAAGCGUGGGGAGCAAACAGGAUUAGAUACCCUGGUAGUCCACGCCCUAAACUAUGUCAAUCUGGUUGUCGGGGAAGCAAUUCCUUGGUAACGAAGCUAACGCGUGAAGUUGACCGCCUGGGGAGUACGGCCGCAAGGUU
rnacentral:rRNA from 1 species